CUGUGAAUGUUUUGUGUUUAUUAUUGUCAUUGGGUUGCUAUCUCAUUGACGUAUACCCUCAUGUUCUUCAUUCAUAUAAUAACAUUUUCGUCUCUUCUUCAACGAAAUGUAAGAUUGAAACUUUCAAACUUGACAGAAAAGUGUGUUCAACUGCUUUGCUACACAGAUAUUAAAUAUCUCACCAUAAAUACCAGGAUUGAAAUUGUGUACGCAAUAUCCUGGAAUAAAAAAAUCUUCAUGUUUCGAAAAAAAAAAAGUUUUGUAAACAAUUAUUCGAUAAUUAUGAUCAAAUCAUUGAUAGUUCAUGUCAACACACAAGUGCUGACUACUAGGCUAGUG
rnacentral:lncRNA from 1 species